rnacentral:lncRNA from 1 species
AUGCCGCCCUGCCCUGCCCGCUGCCCGUCGCACUGCGCUGCCGGCCCCGCUGGCGGGCUGAGCUCCGUUCCUCGGGCCCUACGCGUGGUGCCAGCAGCGGGGCACGUCGGGCCCCUCGUGCCGACGGGCAGAGCCGGGGCGGGCAGAGCUGAGCCGAGCCCCGCUCGGGCGGGGAGGAGCCGGCGGCGGGAAGUGAGCUCAGGCGCACAGGAAAUCCCGCCCGCGCCGCGGCCUGUGUUUGCGCUGCGGGCAGAGAAAGGAGCCGAGCCCCGCAGCGGCCCAGCCGAGCAGCCGCCCGCCCCGUGCCCAGCCAUGUCGGACCAGGUACGCGGACGGCCCCGGCCGCGGGGGGAGCGGCGCCACGAAGCCCCGCGGUCCCGCCGCCGGCCGGGAACCGCUCCCUCCGCGCCCCCCCGACCCCCCCGGCAUCAUCCCCUGCAGACGGCGGGGCCGAGCGGGGCGGGGGUGUCCCGUCGGGGAGCGCGAUGGGGGAGGGGGGAACGGCUCCGGCCUCGGUCGGACUCCGCGUCCUGCCCCGCUCCGUCCCCGCUGAGGGUGAAUCCCCCCAUCCCGCCCCGCUCGGGGCGCUCUCCUCGCGUUAGGGGGAAGGGGCGGCUCGGGAUGGGGGCGGCGCGCGGCAGCUGCUGGUUUCCUUUCGCUGCCCGUUGUUGCGGUGGGAUGCUGCUCCCCGCAGCGGGCUGGGCCGAGCUUGCCGAGGGCUCCCUUAGGAACGAGGACGGGGGGGCGGCGGGGGUGAACUCUGACUUGCCCGGUUCGGCGUUGUUUGCACGUAUGAAACAUCCGGUCCUUCACCCAGACCCUGUUUUGCCUCCGCUGGUACGCGGUGAUGUUGUCAAUUCUGACCCGUCAGCCGGAGACUUCAAUAGUUCCUUGUACGGCAAGUUCUUGGCUCGCUCGGCAGGCACACACACACACACACACACACACACACACAGCCCUUUGCUCGCAUCCGUCGCGUUGGGCUGUGUGACCUGCUGCCUGGGAGCUACGACAGCGCUCCAGUUCCAAUCUGUGCUCUGUUUGACUGCGUCGUUUAUAGUACUUUCAUAUGUCAGUGUUUUCUAA